AUGCAGUCUCAUUUGAUGAUAAGCAUCCAGCUUCUUGUUCUCUUUGCCAUCUGUCCUUCAAACCAGAUGUACGUGAUUUAUGAAAAGACUAUGUGGACUCAAUCCAGCUUUUCAUCUGCAGGCACUUGCCUAGAUAAAAUGAAUUGGCCAGCAGAGACCAAAAACACCUCCCAAGUACAGUUGUGCGCUACUUAUUUCAAUUACAGAUGUGAAGAAAGAGCGUUGGCGUCACAUAGAGAAGAAUUUUCGAAGCGAGAAGCCACAGCCUGCGCACAGCCAGCUCACAGUGAAGACAGAUUUUGUAGAGGCUCUCAGGCAUCUGCAUCCAUGUGGUAUUUCUACCCUCUUCAUCACCAGAAACAAUCCCCUCAACAGGCAGCUCUUCCCUAGAUCUGAUUCAGUAAGGUAGGUUUCAGUGUAAAACUAUACCAUACAAACUGGCAAAGAAGUUAGGAAAGAGGGAAGGAAAACAGAUUCCAGAAGUAUCAUUGAUAAAAAUGUACGUGUACAUUUAAUAUGUAA
rnacentral:lncRNA from 1 species